GACGUAGGGCGCGAGCGUUGUCCGGAUUUAUUGGGCGUAAAGAGCUCGUAGGCGGCUUGUCGCGUCGUUCGUGAAAACCCGGGGCUCAACUCCGGGCUUGCGGGCGAUACGGGCAGGCUAGAGUUCGGUAGGGGAGACUGGAAUUCCUGGUGUAGCGGUGAAAUGCGCAGAUAUCAGGAGGAACACCGGUGGCGAAGGCGGGUCUCUGGGCCGUAACUGACGCUGAGGAGCGAAAGCAUGGGGAGCGAACAGG
rnacentral:rRNA from 1 species